AGAUGCGCCGUGAAAUUUUUUUCUGUGAAAAAUUUGUGGUUUUGUUUUCCUUUGGUGUUUUAUAUUCUUGUAUUAUUGAUUAGUUCUAAUGAUAAUUGAAGAGUUUUAAUCUGGGCACAUUGCAAAUUAUCCAUAAUCUAAAGUAGCUCUUGUGAGCUGCGUAACAUGCAAAUUGGAGAAAACUUUCAGUUGCACGAUAGACUUAGUGCCGCCGAACUACGUUUGAUGGCUAUGAGGCAGCAGCAGCAAAUCGAUACACAGCAGCAGAUGUUGGCCGCGAAGGAGCAACGUUUGCGGUUUUUAAAAACACAGGAAUCGCGAGCGGCCGUAACUGUAGCCGAGACGGAACGUUUACACCGCUUGCGAGAACGAGUUGAAGCACAAGAAUCAAAACUGCGUCGCUUAAGAGCCCUGCGGGGUCAAGUGGAUCUACAAAAAACCUAUAACGUUACACUUGGAAACGACCUCGACUCUAUAAGAGCUUUGUUCAGUGAGAAGGAGAAAGAACUUACUCUAGCCGUUGCUAAAGUGGAAGCACUAACUAGACAGUUGGAAGAUCUCCGUCGAAAUCGUAGAGGAGGGAUCGGAAGUCAUGGAUUCAUAGGCCAAAACACAUCCAACGGAGUCCUGUCACCGGCAGCCAAGGAAUUAGAAAAAUUACGGUUGGAACUACAAUAUCGUAACCAGCUUUCGUUGCAACAAAAUGCCCGUCUCAAUAUGCAGAGGGAGGUGCUGCAGCAACGUCAAAUCGAGCUACAUUCCGUGGACAAACGUAUAGUAGAGCUACAAAGCCGGAUCCAUAAAAAACGUAAUCUCAAUGUGCAAAAUUAUAAGGUUCAAGCCAGCAAAGACGACUCAAGCGAUCAUCAGAAUAAUAAUCCUAGCGCAGCAAUAUCGAAUGUUACACUACAUAUGCGCUCGGCUUCGACGAACGCUAUUUCCUCUAAUAUACGCAGCUUGAGUCGUGGCAAUAUAGUCGCCGUUGAACCUUUCAGUCAUGUGCCUACAAAAUCAUUACUCGGUGGCGCAUCUUUUACGUCUUCGCAAGCGGCUAUGGCUGUGCCAAAUGACAAACUAUUUCAAAAUUCUCUGUCACAAACUGUUUUUGAUAAGCCUGAUCCGGUCAAAAAUCAGAAUCAACCUGUUCAGCAUCAACGUCAUCCGCAACAAAAACCACAACAACAGCAAACAUAUCAGGUACAGCAGCAAUCACAUCAUCCCGUACAACAACAAAAUGUGAGCCAAAAAGAAUCAAUUUUCGAAAAUGAUCAACUGGAAGAUAAUAUGCUCUUGGGAGCAGAAAGCGACGAAAAGAAACUAGCUGCGAGACAGCAGAAACAGUCGCAGUUACGAAUUGAUCAACAUGAUUUAUAUCGACCGUGUUAUCAAGAUAAUGUCAACACUUUCAAUCCUUUGCAACAAGACAACGGGGAUGAGAUUCUGUCUCUAAUGAAUAAGGUUACCAAUAGAGAAUUUGAACUUCUUGCUCAAACACAAGAUUACGAGAAUGAACAUAAUAAUUGUGAAACAAUAGAAGCAGAGAAUACUCCGGUAGAGAAGACGGAGAAAUUCCGUGAUUUAGACAAAGGGCAACAUUAUCAAUUUGCAUCGGAAAAUGUGAAGUCGAUCAGCGUUUUAGCUACACACGGUUCUAACACAACAGAUGAAAAUCCUCCAGAAAGCAACGUAUUUGGUAGCAAGCAGACAUAUCAUUUUCUUCAGAACAUUCCUCUGGGAAAUUUGGUUGUACCACCAAGAAAACCAGUAAAUAGUGUUGCUCCUACGCUGGCAAUGAAUUUCAUGACACCGUCAACAUCCAUUGGAAACGAAUCAACGAGAGGAAAGCCCAACGAUGGUGGUCGGAGGAAUGUGUCCAGCCACAAUCAACUGAUUUUUAAUGAUAUACAGAUAGCAAGCAUGACAAACCGGCCAGCUCUUCCCCCUAAACCAGUAAAAUCCAACAUAGGAGUUUUUAGUAAAAAAUCAUCUAACCAUGCAAACGAAGAGAGCGACUCUGAAUGCACUGGUAUAAGCACGGUACAACAAGCAAUGGAUUCAAAAACUGACGAGGUCUCAAGCGACAUUACGGAUACAUCGCACGUAGCCUGCAAGCUGGCACCAGCAAACGAUAAGCAACCUAUCAAGGCGAAACCUCUCACCAUAAAAAAACAUCCUUUUCUAGAACAACCUAAACUGAAGAGCUUGGCAAACUCCGGCGUUAACAGUAUCUCUAACUCUAGUGGUGUUAGAAAGUCGUCAUCGCCAAGCUUUACAGUAAAUACUACUCAACAGCAGCUAUCAAUUAAAUGGAAUGAAACUUCUGGCACUGUUGCAAGUGGAAACAUGGAGAAGUCGCUUGAAGAAAAUGAUAAUUCCAAUGAUAGACAGCAUAACGACAACGUGCUCGAUAAAUCUGCUCACUCAUUUGAGCGACAUAAGAAAUUGAAGUGCAGUAGUAACGCAGAAGAUGGAGUUAAUGUGAUCGCUCGUAGAAAGCGUA